ensembl:lncRNA
CUGGUGGGUUUGGUUUACAGGGUCCUGGUGGGUUUAGUUUACAGGGUCCUGGUGGGUUUAGUUUACAGGGUCCUGGUGGGUUUAGUUCACAGGGUCCUCGUGGGUUUAGUUUACAGGGUCCUCGUGGGUUUAGUUGACAGGGUCCUCGUCCUCCUUCAGAUGAAGGCACACCCCAGUCCUAAUUCACUCCCUGUAAAUUCCCCUCUGCCCUUAACCCAAUCUUAAUCCCAUCUUCGCAGCUCUGAAGAACCUGGAUAAAUAUUAGCAGGGAAGUGAUGGAGCUUACACCAUAUUGCUUCUACCUUACAGAUCAGUGGUAAGGGGUUAGGGGUAAGGGGUUAGAGGUUAGGGGCUAGAGGUUAGGGGCUAGAGGUUAGGGGUAAGGGGCUAGAGGUUAGGGGUAAGGGCUAGAGGUUAGGGGUUAGAGGUAAGGGUAGGGGUUAGGGGUAAGGGGCUAGAGGUUAGGGGUUAGGGUAGGGGUUAGGGGUAAGGGGCUAGAGGUUAGGGGUUAGGGUAGGGGUUAGGGUAGGGUUUAGGGGUUAGGGUAGGGGUUAGGGGUAAGGGGCUAGAGGUUAGUGGUUAGGGGUAAGGGGCUAGAGAUUAGGGGUUAGGGCAGGUUAGGGGUAAGGGGUUAGGGGUAAGGGG